UACAGAGGUGGCAAGCGUUGUUCGGAAUUACUGGGCGUAAAGGGCGCGUAGGCGGCCUUCUAAGUCAGACGUGAAAUCCCCAGGCUUAACUUGGGAACUGCGUCUGAUACUGGGAGGCUUGAGUGCGGGAGAGGGAUGUGGAAUUCCAGGUGUAGCGGUGAAAUGCGUAGAUAUCAGGAGGAACACCGGUGGCGAAGGCGGCUCUCUGGACCACAACUGACGCUGAGGCGCGAAAGCUAGGGGAGCAAACAGG
rnacentral:rRNA from 1 species